CCUACGGGUGGCAGCAGUGGGGAAUAUUGGACAAUGGGCGAAAGCCUGAUCCAGCCAUGCCGCGUGUGUGAAGAAGGCCUUCGGGUUGUAAAGCACUUUCAGUGGGGAAGAAAGCCUUGGGGCUAAUACCCUCGAGGAGGGACAUCACCCACAGAAGAAGCACCGGCUAACUCCGUGCCAGCAGCCGCGGUAAUACGGAGGGUGCGAGCGUUAAUCGGAAUUACUGGGCGUAAAGCGCGCGUAGGCGGUCUGAUAAGCCGGUUGUGAAAGCCCCGGGCUCAACCUGGGAACGGCAUCCGGAACUGUCAGGCUAGAGUGCAGGAGAGGAAGGUAGAAUUCCCGGUGUAGCGGUGAAAUGCGUAGAGAUCGGGAGGAAUACCAGUGGCGAAGGCGGCCUUCUGGACUGACACUGACGCUGAGGUGCGAAAGCGUGGGUAGCAAACAGGAUUAGAUACCCCAGUAGUC
rnacentral:rRNA from 1 species